rnacentral:rRNA from 1 species
UGGGGAAUAUUGGGCAAUGGGGGAAACCCUGACCCAGCAACGCCGCGUGAGGGAAGAAGGCUUUCGGGUCGUAAACCUCUGUCCCAAGGGAAGAGCAGAAGACGGUACCAUGGGAGGAAGCCACGGCUAACUACGUGCCAGCAGCCGCGGUAAUACGUAGGGGGCGAGCGUUGUCCGGAAUGACUGGGCGUAAAGGGCGCGUAGGUGGCCUUUCAAGUCUGGAGUGAAAGUCCCGCUUUCAAGGUGGUAAUGGCUUUGGAAACUGAGAGGCUUGAGUGUGGGAGAGGAUAGCGGAAUUCCCGGUGUAGCGGUGAAAUGCGUAGAGAUCGGGAGGAACACCAGUGGCGAAGGCGUCUAUCUGGACCAAGACUGACACUGAAGCGCGAAAGCGUGGGUAGCAAACA